CGGGGUGUAGUUCAGUUUGGUAGAGCGCCUGCUUUGGGAGCAGGAGGUCGCAGGUUCAAAUCCUGUCGCCCCGAC
rnacentral:tRNA from 1 species